GCCCGAAUAGCUCAGCCGGUUAGAGCACUUGACUGUUAAUCAGGGGGUCGUUGGUUCGAGUCCAACGUCGGGC
rnacentral:tRNA from 1 species